GAUGAACGCUGGCGGCGUGCCUAAUACAUGCAAGUCGAGCGAACAGACGAGGAGCUUGCUCCUCUGACGUUAGCGGCGGACGGGUGAGUAACACGUGGGUAACCUACCUAUAAGACUGGGAUAACUUCGGGAAACCGGAGCUAAUACCGGAUAAUAUAUUGAACCGCAUGGUUCAAUAGUGAAAGACGGUUUUGCUGUCACUUAUAGAUGGAUCCGCGCCGCAUUAGCUAGUUGGUAAGGUAACGGCUUACCAAGGCAACGAUGCGUAGCCGACCUGAGAGGGUGAUCGGCCACACUGGAACUGAGACACGGUCCAGACUCCUACGGGAGGCAGCAGUAGGUAAUCUUCCGCAAUGGGCGAAAGCCUGACGGAGCAACGCCGCGUGAGUGAUGAAGGUCUUCGGAUCGUAAAACUCUGUUAUUAGGGAAGAACAAAUGUGUAAGUAACUAUGCACGUCUUGACGGUACCUAAUCAGAAAGCCACGGCUAACUACGUG
rnacentral:rRNA from 1 species